GGUACAAUGCACCUGGCCCGCGGCCUAUUAGGCUUGUGAGUGCCGGCGCGCGUUUACCAUCCUUCUAGAAAACAGGCCUGCCCUUUACUGGGUUGGGUUUGCGAUCUAGAUCUUUUACUUUGAAAAAAUUAGAGUGUUUAAAGCAGGCUUUUGCUAUGAAUACAUUAGCAUGGAAUAAUAAUCUAGGACUUCGGUUCUAUUUUGUUGGUUUCUAUAACUGAAGUA
rnacentral:rRNA from 1 species